ensembl:lncRNA
GGGAUGCUAUGUUAGCUAGCUGGCUAUGGCUAUCCAACACUGAAACUCUUCUUAGUCAAGGUGAGCUUUUGGUUUUAUUAGUUUAAUGCCACCCGGGACUGCCGGUGUAACUGCUGAACUGCUUGCUGUACACUGUAUAGUGUGGGGUUAGGAUUUACUGUAGGCCGAGGCUGGAUGGGGUUAGGAUGUACUGUAGGCUGAGGCUGGAUGGGGUUAGGAUGUACUAUAGGCCGUGGAUGGGGUUAGGAUGUACUGUAGGCCGAGGCUGGAUGGAUGGGACUAGGAUUUACUGUAGGCCGAGGCUGGAUGGGGUUAGGAUGUACUGUAGGCCGAGGCUGGAUGGAUGGAAUUAGGAUUUACUGUAGGCCGAGGCUGGAUGGGGUUAGGAUGUACUGUAGGCCGAGGCUGGAUGGGGUUAGGAUGUACUGUAGGCCGAGGCUGGAUGGGGUUAGGAUUUACUGUAGGCCGAGGCUGGAUGGAUGGGGUUAGAAUUUACUGUAGGCCGAGGCUGGAUGGGGUUAGGAUGUACUGUAGGCCGAGGCUGGAUGGGGUUAGGAUGUACUGUAGGCCGAGGCUGGAUGGUUGGGGUUAGGAUGUACUAUAGGCUGAGGCUGGAAGGGGUUAGGAUUUACUGUAGGCCGAGGCUGGAUGGAUGGGGUUAGAAUUUACUAUAGGCCGAGGCUGGAUGGGGUUAGGAUGUAGUGUAGGCCGAGGCUGGAUGGGGUUAGGAUUUACUAUAGGCUGAGGCUGGAUGGGGUUAGGAUGUACUAUAGGCUGAGGCUGGAUGGAUGGGGUUAGGAUGUACUGUAGGCCGAGGCUGGAUGGGGUUAGAAUGUACUGUAGGCCGAGGCUGGAUGGAUGGGGUUAGGAUGUACUGUAGGCCGAGGCUGGAUGGGGUUAGGAUGUACUGUAGGCCGAGGCUGGAUGGAUGGGGUUAGAAUGUACUGUAGGCCGAGGCUGGAUGGGGUUAGGAUGUACUAUAGGCCGAGGCUGGAUGGGGUUAGGAUG